rnacentral:rRNA from 1 species
GUGCCAGCAGCCGCGGUAAUACGGGGGGGGCUAGCGUUGUUCGGAAUUACUGGGCGUAAAGGGCGCGUAGGCGGUCUAUUAAGUUGGAUGUGAAAACUCUGGGCUUAACCCAGAGCCUGCAUUCAAAACUGAUAGGCUGGAGUUCUGGAGGGGAUAGCGGAAUUCCUGGUGUAGCGGUGAAAUGCGUAGAUAUCAGGAGGAACACCGGUGGCGAAGGCGGCUAUCUGGACAGAAACUGACGCUGAGGCGCGAAAGCUAGGGGAGCAAACAGGAUUAGAUACCCUGGUAGUCC